CAGGUACGAUUACCCGCUGAAUUUAAGCAUAUUAAUAAGCGGAGGAAAAGAAAUCAACAGAGAUGCUCCUAGUAAUGGCGAAUGAAGAGGGCAGAGCUCAGACUUAAAAUCGGGGUUCUUCGGGGCCUUUGAAUUGUAGUUUUAGAUUGGGUUUUGAUGAGCCCUGGUAGGGAUGAAGUGACCUUGAACGGUCUGCCAUUGAGGGUGACAGCCCCGUAGUCCUUGCCGCCUGGGUGUUAAAGUCAUUUCCCUUUCUUCGAGUCGGGUUGUUUGAGAUUGCAGCCCUAAUACGGGUGGUUGAUCCCAUCCAAAGCUAAAUAUUGAGACUAGACCGAUAGCGAAGAAGUACUGUGAAGGAAAGGUGAAAAGAACCCUGAAAAGGGGUAAAAAGACCCUUGAAAUCGUUAAAAGGGAACCGUACGCAGCUGUUGACUGGAAUCGGUCUGUUCAAUGCGUGCGAUGGGCGGCAGCUCUGUCUGCCGGGUCCGAAAGGGUCCGGUGGGUGGGGAGGAUGUGCUUGUCGUGUGUGUGUUCAGGUCGUAGUACGUAUCA
rnacentral:rRNA from 1 species